GACGAACGCUGGCGGCGUGCUUAACACAUGCAAGUCGAACGAUGAAGCCGGAGCUUGCUCUGGUGAAUUAGUGGCGAACGGGUGAGUAACACGUGAGUAACCUGCCCUUGACUCUGGGAUAACUGCUAGAAAUGGUAGCUAAUACCGGAUACGACCCUCGGAGGCAUCUCCAGGGGGUGGAAAGAAUUUCGGUCAAGGAUGGACUCACGGCCUAUCAGCUAGUUGGUGGGGUAACGGCUCACCAAGGCGACGACGGGUAGCCGGCCUGAAAGGGUGAUCGGCCACACUGGCACUGAGACACGGGCCAGACUCCUACGGGAGGCAGCAGUGGGGAAUUUUGGACAAUGGGGGCAACCCUGAUCCAGCGACGCCGCGUGAAGGAUGAAGGUCUUCGGAUUGUAAACUUCUUUUGAUGGGGAUGAAUGCCUGCGUGAAUAACGCAGGGUGACAGUACCCGUUGAAUAAGCCACGGCUAACUACGUGCCA
rnacentral:rRNA from 1 species